UACGUAGGGGGCAAGCGUUGUCCGGAUUUAUUGGGCGUAAAGAGCGUGUAGGCGGCUGGGUAGGUCCGUUGUGAAAACUCGAGGCUCAACCUCGAGACGCCGAUGGAAACCCCCCAGCUAGAGUCCGGAAGAGGAGAGUGGAAUUCCUGGUGUAGCGGUGAAAUGCGCAGAUAUCAGGAGGAACACCAAUGGCGAAGGCAGCUCGCUGGGUCAAAACUGACGCUCAUGCACGAAAGCGUGGGGAGCAAACAGG
rnacentral:rRNA from 1 species